rnacentral:rRNA from 1 species
AUUGAACGCUGGCGGCAUGCCUUACACAUGCAAGUCGAACGGCAGCACGGGAGCAAUCCUGGUGGCGAGUGGCGAACGGGUGAGUAAUAUAUCGGAACGUGCCCAGUCGUGGGGGAUAACGUAGCGAAAGCUACGCUAAUACCGCAUACGAUCUAUGGAUGAAAGCGGGGGAUCGCAAGACCUCGCGCGAUUGGAGCGGCCGAUAUCAGAUUAGGUAGUUGGUGAGGUAAAGGCUCACCAAGCCGACGAUCUGUAGCUGGUCUGAGAGGACGACCAGCCACACUGGGACUGAGAAAGAGCCCAGACCCCGACGGGAGGCGGCAGUGGGGAAUUUUGGACAAUGGGCGCAAGCCUGAUCCAGCAAUGCCGCGUGCAGGAUGAAGGCCUUCGGGUUGUAAACUGCUUUUGUACGGAACGAAACGGCGAGCUCUAAUACAGUUUGCUAAUGACGGUACCGUAAGAAUAAGCACCGGCUAACUACGUGCCAGCAGCCGCCGCCG